CCCCCCUAAGGGUCGCACCUGGAGAGUUUCCAGUACUCUCCCUGUCUCGGCUAGUGGAGGGAGAGUCAAGCAGAGGCAUACCCAUUCCAUUUCUAGCUUGGGCAGAGGCUAGUGAGUAGAAGGCAAUCUGCUACACAU
rnacentral:snoRNA from 1 species